ensembl:lncRNA
GGGGGGAUGCUGCAAACAAAUAUUACUGGAGUGUGCUUGCAGUGUCUCAUCCACGCUGGGCUUACCCCUGCUCGCGGUGCACACCGCUCAGGCUCUGCCUAGCUCUGCCGGGGAACCGUCUGGGGCGGCCCUAGGCUUCAUGCACCUCCCCGGUCUAAGCCGCUCAGGCUCGGCACUCAGGAAGCCUUCAGAGGGGCAGAUUUGAUUGGACCUGCGUUUUGUGCCUUUCCCAGGUCGGAGUAGCUCAGGAGUUUGGCGAGCACAAUCGCUGCAACUUUUAUGGCCUUUCCCUGCUGUUCAGUUUUCUGGGUGUACCGCUGGUGUUCCUUCUCAGGCGGAUGAUGACUGUCCAGAACCCCCAGAAAUCUUAGUUAACAAAGAAGCCUGCUUGCAUUUUGGAUCCUUCAGCACAGCACUCAGAAACUCACGACUGAACUACAUCUGGCUGUUUUAAGAAAUAGAAAAGGGGGAGAUGCUGGGAGCCAGCAUGAGGAGUCCCACCCAUGGCAAAGGUCAUGAGGUUAAGGGGCCCAACAGGCAAAGGUGAGUCGGGCCUUAAGGGAGCCUCGCUGGAUCUGCUCAUGCAUCUGCCCCAAAACCAGAGUCUGCCUGCCUUAUGGCAUUGUGCUUUUUGCCUAAUCUUCUGACAUUAUACAGGGGGCUAUCCCCCACUACCUCUCUCUGAAAAGGAGUUAACUUAGGACUCCAGUUAAUAAAUCUCCUGGGUGUGACAAGGGUGUUUCAGUCCAAAAACCUCUCUGCUGGCAGACUAGCUUGUGUGACAGGAUUAUCCACAUUCUAGGUAGAUGAUUGUUUACAACCUCUCAACCAUAAAUAGCACAGAGAGUUUGGAGUAUUUUGAAAGUCUUAAUUAGCAUAGAGCUUUUCUCAUUUUGAGUCAAUGACUGCCAUCAGGCCUCCAUACCCCUAAGCACCUGGGAGUAUGUUUUAAGUUAAUGAAUUUUCUCUUUGUUAUAAAUCACUUUACUCCUCCUUUUUUUGUUAUAAACCGUGUAUCCUUGCAAUGUAAGAAUGUAAUGUUAUCACUAUCUUAAGACAAAGUGGAUCUUAAGGGAAAAAUAAGUUUUCUGAUUGACUAACCUUUAUCAAUAGAAAGUAAUAAUAAAAUGUUAGUCGGUCUAGAUAUUGUAAACAAACGUAAGACCCUUGUAAGAAUAAAGAUAUGCAAAGAACACUGUCUUUAGAUAAGGGUCAGAGCAGCUGUUUACAUUUAUCUUUAUGUAUAACUAAAGGUAUAAAAGUGAAUCUGGAAAAUAAACGGAUCAGUUCCUGGAAAGACUGGUCUCCUCAUGUUGUUCUUUCUCUCCCCUUCUGGCUGAAUUCCCAUCUGGAGCGUGGAUGCCUGCCAGGCCUACUAAUUUUGUGGGGGCUUCUAAGAUCUGACCGGGGAGGCCUUUGUGUCUCCUCUCCUUCGGGAGAACAGGAAGACGCCUGUGGCCUAGGCUAUUUCCUCCAUUUGGAGACCCCUGGCCUUCCUGCCUGUUACCCUCUCAACUUCAUGGCAAAUAGACGGAGAAACAACGGAAAUUGUAACAAACUUAUUUGGGGGGGUUUGAGAAAUCACUGCAGAUGGCGACUGCAGCCAUGAAAUUAAAAGAUUCUUGCUCCUUGGAAGAAAAGCUAUGAUCAACCUAGAAAUCAUAUUUAAAAAACAGAGACAUUACUUUGUGACAAGAUGCGUCUCAUCAAAGCUAUGGUUUUUCCACUAGUCAUAUAUGGAUGUGAGAGUUGGACCAUAAGGAAAGCUGAGUGCCGAAGAAUUGGUGCUUUUGAACUGUGGUAUUGGAGAAGACUCUUGAGAGUCCCUUGGACUGCAAGAAGAUUAAACCAGUCAAUUCUAAAGGAAAUCAGCCCUAAAUAUUCAUUGGAAGGACUGAUGUUGAAGCUGAAACUCCAAUACUUUGGACACCUAAUGUGAAGAACUGACUCACUUGAAAAGACCCUGAUGCUGGGAAAGAUUGAAGGCAAAAGGAAAAGGGGACAACAGAGAAUGAGAUGGCUGGAUGGCAUCAUCAGCUCCAGGAACAUGAGUUUGAGCAAGCUCCAGGAAUUGGUGAUGGACAGGGAAGCCUGGCAUGCUGCAGUUCAUG